GACGAACGCUGGCGGCGUGCCUAAUACAUGCAAGUUGAGCGCUGAAGGUUGGUCCUUGUACCAACUGGAUGAGCAGCGAACGGGUGAGUAACGCGUGGGUAAUCUGCCUUUGAGCGGGGGACAACAUUUGGAAACGAAUGCUAAUACCGCAUAAAAACUUUAAACACAAGUUUUAAGUUUGAAAGAUGCAUUUUCAUCACUCAAAGAUGAUCCCGCGUUGUAUUUGCUAGUUGGUGAGGUAAAGGCUCACCAAGGCGAUGAUACAUAGCCGACCUGAGAGGGUGAUCGGCCAAAUGGGGAAUGAGACAAGGCCCAAAAUCCUACGGGAGGCAGCAGUAGGGAAUCAUCGGCAAUGGACGAAAGUCUGACCGAGCAACGCCGCGUGAGUGAAGAAGGGUUUCGGAUUGUAAAACUCGGUUGGUAGAGAAGAAAGUUGGUGAGAGUGGAAAGCUCAUCAAGUGACGGUAACUACACAGAAAGGGACGGCUAACUACGUG
rnacentral:rRNA from 1 species